CGUCCAUCUACUGAGGGGGAGAGAAGGAGGAGGGGGUGUCGUGCACGCGCCGGCCUGCGCGUGUGUGUUAGAGGAGGAGGAGGAGGUGAUGUGUAUGUGGGAGCAGGAGCAAAGACGCUGCAGUGUCUUGGCAGCUGCAUUAUACUGUAGUGCAUCUCCCACCGCCCGUGAUGCCUUCACGGCCAAAGCCUUCCUCCUCCCCCGCGUCCACUCUUGAAGGCGCAAAGAUGAACUCGCCCGCAAACUGAGACGGACACCGGUCAGUUCGACAGUCCGGACCUGCUCCCCUCCUUUCUCUCCUUCCUUUGCCGUCUUCCUCGCAUCCGUUCAUCCAGCCGUCGACCCGCACAUUUGAAUGGAAGAUGGCGAGGGGCGGGAGGUGUUUCAGCGGCGUCCGCUUGGUAUCUCUGCAGAUCAUCUUGAUGCUCGGAGGCGCGGCGUGGCCUGGCUCCGAGGGACUUACCUUUCCACAGCAGUACACGAUAAUGCACUGGGCGAGGCGCAUCGAGCAGGAGAUUGACAGAGUCUUUCAGCACAUCAGUGGAGCUCAGCAGCUGAAAGGGAUAUACAAUGAAGAAAGAAGACGCUUUAGUCUGGUAAAGAAUCAACCUCGAAAGAUUGUGGAGAAAGUGGCUUCAGAUAUCGAGAAACUUCUGGCUAAGAAGCGCAAAGCUCUCGAAAGGUUAGCCAAUGAAGCAGAACGGCUCCAGCUUGAGCAUCCCUGGCAGGAUGGAAUAAAGGAGCUGGACAUGGCCUAUUAUGACUCGAAGGCAGAGCUAGAUCACUAUUCCAUGGAUGGAGAGGGUGAAGUGGAAAAUCCUUCCCAUAUCAAGCUGGAGUUUGUGUAUGACCCCAAUUUCAAAAACAAUGUCAACUACUCCUACACGGCUGUUCAGAUUCCCACAGACAUUUAUAAAGGAGCUCCAGUUAUUCUCAACGAAUUGAACUGGACGCAGGCGCUGGAGAAAGUGUUCAUGGAGAACAGUCGGGAGGAUCCGUCAUUAUUGUGGCAAGCGUUCGGGAGCGCCACUGGAGUGACCCGCUACUACCCUGCCACACCUUGGAAAGCACCUGAUAAAAUUGACCUCUACGAUGUCAGGAGGAGACCCUGGUACAUCCAGGGUGCUUCAUCCCCCAAAGAUAUGGUCAUUCUUGUGGAUGUGAGUGGCAGUGUCAGUGGACUCACACUUAAACUGAUCAAGGCAUCAGUGAUGGAGAUGCUGGACACGUUGUCUGAUGACGACUACGUCAACGUUGCCCGGUUCAGCGAGAAGGCAGAGGCGGUAGUUCCUUGCUUCAAACAUCUCGUCCAGGCCAAUGUGCGCAACAAGAAGAUCUUUAAAGAAGCGGUGCAGCAGAUGCAGGCCAAAGGCACCACUGACUACAAGUCCGGAUUUCAUUUUGCCUUUAAUCAGCUGUUAAAUAAAACAAACGUCCCACGGGCCAACUGCAAUAAAAUCAUCAUGCUUUUCACUGACGGUGGUGAGGACCGAGCUCAGGAUGUCUUCAUGCAGUACAAUUGGCCCAACAAAACGGUUCGAGUUUUCACCUUUUCAGUGGGACAGCACAACUACGAUGUCACACCUUUACAGUGGAUCGCAUGCACAAAUAAAGGUUACUAUUUUGAGAUCCGUUCCCUCUGCGCAAUAAGGAUAAAUACGCAGGAAUACCUGGAUGUGUUGGGACGCCCCAUGGUUCUUGCAGGCGAUGAGGCCAAGCAGGUCCAAUGGACCAAUGUGUAUCAGGAUGCUUUGGGCCUUGGGAUGGUAGUAACAGGGACUUUGCCUGUAUUCAAUCUCACCAUGGAUGGAAAACUACAGAACCAGCUGAUUUUAGGUGUCAUGGGAGUGGACGUACAUCUCGAUGAGAUAAAGCGGCUGACGCCACAGUACACUCUCGGGGCCAAUGGUUACAUAUUCGCAAUUGACCCAAAUGGAUAUCUCCUGCUUCAUCCCAAUUUACUGCCCAAGCUGGUGCAUCUCCCCGAGCCUGUCACACUGGACUUCCUGGAUGCAGAAGUCGAGGACAGCAAUAAAGAAGAGAUCCGGCGACAGAUGAUUGAUGGACGACCGGGUGACAUGCAGAUCAAAACUCUCAUUAAGUCAGUCGAUGAGCAAUACAUUGAUGAGGUGUACAGAGGUUAUACUUGGACUCCUGUCAAUGGUACAGAUUACAGUCUGGGGCUGGUACUACCGCCAUACAAUGAAUAUUACAUUCAGGCAGACCUCAGUGAUGUGAUGCUUCAACUUCAGUACAUGCAAUCGUUACUGCCAAGCUCCUUUGAAUCUUCAGGACACGUCUUUCUUGCACCAAGGGAAUACUGCAAGCGUCUGCAGCUUUCAGACAACAACACACAGUUUUUGCAGAACUUCCUCUCUCUCAUGCUGGAAAUUUCUCCGGAAUCAGAUGAGUGUGACCAAGGGCUCAUACACAACCUGAUACUGGACUCUAGGAUAAUUGGCCAGCUCGCUUCACGUGUGUGGAAAAAUAAGGAUCUUAAUUCGUAUGGCUUCCUGGCUGUGUUUGCGUCCACUGACGGAGGCAUAACGCGAGUCUUCCCCAACUUAGCUGCCGAAUUAUGGGACGAGGACCCUGAACCCUUCAAUUCAAACUACUAUCGAAGGAGCCUUGACAACAAAGGUUACAUGUUUCGAGCUCCACCUCGAGAAUAUUUAGAUGACAUAUUAGGACCAGAAAACAGCACAGUCGGAAUUCUGGUUAGUUCAGCUGUGGAAGUUAAUUUAGGAGGAAAACUUCUCAAACCUGCAGUUGUGGGAGUAAAGCUGGACCUAGAAGCUUGGGUGGACAAGUUCAAGAUCCUGGCCAGCAACGUGUCGGACAGCCGGCAAGGCUCACACAAGUGCGGCCCAACUAGGAGCUGUGAGAUGGACUGUGAAGUCAACACCGAUGAUCUGCUCUGCUACCUCAUUGAUGACGGUGGCUUCCUGGUUAUGUCCAAUCAAAGAGACCACUGGAAAAAGAUAGGUUUAUUUUUCGGAGAUGUGGACCCAUUCUUGAUGCAUGCCCUCUACAACAACUCCAUCUUCAACCGGCGACAGACUUUUCACUUCCAGUCAGCAUGCGAGCCAGUCAGCAGCAGCCACACUGGUGCAGCACCUCGUCGCUUUUUUGUGCCGUCUAUCGCCGACAUCCUCAGCUUGGCUUGGUGGACGUCCACGGUGGCCUGGUCUUUGAUCCAGCAAGUACUUUACGGACUGGCACACAACAGCUGGCUCAAUCAAGAUGACAUCUUCAUAGAAGGUUUUGAGAUCAAGUCGAGUAGCUGUGUGACCAUCCAAAGCCAGUUCUUCUUCACUAACACCACCAACUCGUAUAAUGUGCUGCAGGACUGUGGCAACUGUUCGCGGCUGUUUCACGCCAAGCGGAUAGAAAACACCAAUCUCCUCUUUGUGGUCGCUGAGACUCUUUCCUGCAGUUCCUGUCAGAUAGAGAAGCUGAGCCAAAUCAGGACAGAGCUUCAGGAGGAGAAUCCUUGUGAGGUACUGAGCAACGCACGAUAUCGGAGAGGUCCGACAACCUGCCUUGACUUCAGUGCCUUAGAAAAUACUUCCGAGUGUGGACGAGCACACUUUGUACAGUCCUCCAUGGGGGUCCUACUCGCCCUUCAGCUCAUUCUGCCUUUCUUUCACCACUGACACAUGCCGCUAUUCACGUCCGUGUCGACUGAUGGUCAGGUACCCAAAGCAAGUGUGACUCCUCUUCUGGAUCAGCCUUUGGUUGUGUUUGGGGUUUUUGGGACGGUUUUUGGCAGUCAGUUGAAAUGUUCCUUUAACAGGGCAACGAACAAGCACACUUGGGGCCAAAAAAUGAUGUGUUGUGUAAUUUUUUUUCAUCGUUUUCUCUUUGGAUUAUUAUAGCAAAAAUUAUGAAUAAUGAAAAUGUUCUGGUGGAAGAAAUAUUCUGCUUGAAUGAAAAAAAUUGUAUUACCACAAAACAAGACUUUUUAGCUAAAUUCUUUACAACAGCACACAUAUAUAUGUCACACUAAAGUUCCUUGGCCAACCAGAAGUACAAAUGGUAUCACUGGUGACAUGAUAACCUGUUUACAACCUCUCUGUGAUACUUUAAAAAGAACAAAACAAGUAUUUAAAAAUAUAUUUAGCUAUUCCAUGGGACCACACAUAUCAGUGACCAAAUAUUUGUUAAAUAUCAGAGACGAUCUUGAAGUGCUUCCAGUCACAAAACCAAUUGAGCACGAGAUGUGGAAAAAGUCAAGCCUAUGAAUAGUGAGUAUAAUGAUCAUAUAUAUGGAUAAAACAUAAUCGGCAAGAAGUGAUAAUACGGUAUUAAGUGCAAUAAUGCUGUGUUGAUUUGUGAGUGUUCGUUAACUAUCCAGUUGAAUCUGAUUGCAGUGUUUGGUGGAUUUCGUAAACCUGUACCCAACUGAAUUUAGAACAAAGCGACAGCAAUUAGUUAUUUGUUUACCAAUAUUUUUCUUAAUAAUGGUAAAUGCUAUUCAUGGUGAUUUAAGUUAUGUUUGCUUCUUGUAUGGGGAAUGUCGCUUCUGAGCAGCCUUUAGUGUUCCCGAUAUGUCAUAACUAUGUGAUGACUUUUCAUUUUUUAAAAUGACUCUUCACCGUGAUAGCAAUAUAUGACAAGGGAAAAAAAUUCUUGUGUGGGCCACACUUUACAAUUAAAACAAAUUUAAGUGGUCCGAAGACUCUACAUGUUGCAUUGAUUAACUUCGGAACUCAGAGUUUAACCUUGUGUAGAGUGAAUGUAAUUCGUGUCAAUUCCGACAUCUGGAGCUGAGCUCAAAACUUAAAGGGUACCACGGAUAGAAAGUCACGUAAUUCUUAAAAGAUGAAUGUUAGUACGAGUUAUAAUAAUUUGAUAAUAAAACCCCUCUUAAUGUUUUUGUUUUAAUAGAAUUUGUAAAAUUAUUUUAACUAGUAGGUCGCCAUUGUUGUUGACAUAGCAGGGUAGUGACGUCACAUGGGUACGCUGCCGGACUUCCACAGUGUCACUCUUUAACUACAUAAACAUGUCAUUGGUUCUGCCCUUCCCAAUUUGAACCCGAGUGGAACAUUAAUGAGAAGGACAGCAAAAGCAAAGUGAACAGGACAGAUGGGUUGAGACAAGUAGCGUUCACGUGUCAAGUUCGCUAGUGACAGCACUCUCCUGCUCUAGUGACAAGAGCAGGAGAGUGUUUGAUGUCAAAAACUGUUUGCAGAUCUUCACGGUAAACUAUUGUGUGAUCCAACUUAUUCCAAUAUUAUUUUGGAGAUAGCAAGCAUCCAGAGCUGUCGUGUGCUUUCCAUAUUAUUAGGGUAUACAGUGAAACACAACAGUUUGAUUAUUUUUGCCGAUAGCCUGUGCAUCACAGCACACGAAAACAUUGAUGCAGUUUGCCUCUACCAAGACAUCUAAGUAGGGGCUCCAUCACCGAGAGAAUGCUGCCUUACCUUAUUUUUGAUACGUAAAAGCAGAUGUCCAGAUUGUUGAUCAUCCUGCCGGUGUUCUCAGAUUUAUCAGACUUAUCAGAUGUUGCUCCCGAAGCUUGCUAAGCGACACGGAAAACGAAUAAAUGUAUUAAACUUAGUUGGAUUGCUGGCUAUUCGUAUCAUUUUUUGCCCAACAGAUUAUAAUGACGCCUUAUUUUGCACAUUGAGAUCUAAGAGGCAGAGAAAGGCGAGUGGACACAGGCGUUCAGAUUCGUAGCUCAGACCGCACCGUUUAUUGGCAUAAGCUUCGGCAACUUCACAGCAAACAUAAGUAUCAUAUACUGAAAAUACAACAAAAAUAAUAUUCAUAUACUGUAGAUCAUAGCUCUCAAAAAUAAUGUUCACAAAAAGAAAAGUACUUCAAUCUGUAUGAAUGAGGCCCUAUCCUCACACAGAUAAACAACAAUGCAAAGAGAACUGGCAUUCAUAAAUUCACAAUCAAAAUAGAUAUGCAAAAUACACAUAAAACUUACUCAGACUUUGGUCAAACUCUAUUUAAACAUUUUAGCAACUCGUUUAUCUCAACAAAUACACUGAAUGGCAAUAUUUAGUCACAGUAUACAAACUCGGAGUGGGAACCUUUUGGUACCUCACGAUACGAUACGAUUUGCGAUACAAAGCUCAUGAUAACGAUGAUCUGACGAUAUGGCGAUACAACGAUUAUCGAUACAUUGGUCAGGAAAUCAUUCUAGAAUAUUCUAAGAACAACUAAUAAACAGAAAAGCAAGCUUCUGCUGUGAAUUGGAAUGAGUAGAUGUCCAAUCCAGUUGAACUGGGAGGGUGGCAGCGCAUUCAUUUGCUACCAUUCCUAUGUAAUCCCUAGGUAAUUUUGGGCUAUUUAAGGUUGUUACCUGUUGAUUUUCAGUUACUUCCUGUUGAUUUUUGGGUAUUUUACGGGUCACUUCCUGUUUAUUUUGAGUUACAGAACAUUAAGUGACCUAGGAAUCACCCAAAAUGAAUAGGCAGUGACUCAAACUCAACAGGAAAUGACCUAUAAAUGCCCUGAAAAUCAGAUAGAAUGACUGUGAAUGCUCUGGUUUCGAAUGAACGAACGUUCCCAGUGUAAAUGGAUUCGGCGUCGUGCACCGUCAAUGCAGCCUUAGAGUUAACUGAGACACUAUUAUGGUGGAAGAUUUUGGUUGCAACUUGUUGGUUCCUUUUUAUUUUUUUUUUUAGACAUUGACACCUUUUUAAAAUGAUAUCUCGAUUCUUGGCAGGAGCAUAUCGAUAACCUUAUGUGAUACAAAGUAUCACGAUAUAUCACCAUUUCGAUAUUUUGUCACACCCAGGCAGGAAACUAUGGCGUCAGUCGAGGGACAAAACGCACGCAUUGGCAUGAUCUCCAAUUGACACCUUGUGGUGUACUUAAAUCAGUGCCUCACAUAGUUGAAGAGUGACACUGUGAAGGAUGGUCAGCGUGACCAUGUGACGUCAGCGCCCUGCGACGUCAACAGCAAUGCCCGCAGUGCCUUGUGGCACUCUCUUUGGAUGUUCCAUUGACGUUCAUCCUGCAUCCCGCAGGCCAUGCGAAGGACUUGUGAAGUUUGAUGUGGAUACACGACACAUGAUUGCUCUUCAAGAUCAAAUGAGACUUCUCAUUAAAGAGAACAGCACAGCUAAAGAAGCAUGUGGCCACCUCAAGGAAAAAUGUUUAUUGAGAUUUGGCCCCCUUCUUCAGUCUAUGUUGGGCCAAGAAUCAAAGCACACACUCUGGCCAACACACUUUCUCCAGAUCCUCGUCUUUCCUGCCACGAAUGACUGAAAUAAGUGAAUGUUUAGGAUGUUUAUGUACGCGCCGUGCAUCUUUGCAGUCCCCCAGCAUGGUCGGGAAUGGUUUGCCAGAAACAUUGCUUUAUAAAAAUUAAAAAAUGCUUUUAACCCAUGGCUUUGAAUUUAGUUCCUGAAACAACACUGCUGUAUAUUAAGCAAAAGUGUUGAUAAGCCACAAAGUAUUAAGGUCAGUGUUGUGGUUUUGUUUUUAAUGACCUGUAUUUAUUUGCAUGAUGUUUUGGAACACUUGGAGCAAGUUUUGUGUAUAUAGUUGGAUAGAUAUGAAACAUUCCUCUUGAGUAUAUCUCAUGGAAAUGAAUGAGGAACAAAGUUUGACUUCAGUGAAGCCUUUAACAGAUUUAUGUAUUUAUUAAUUUAUGCUGUAUGUUUUAAGCACAAAAGGUGCAGGUGGUAAACAAACUGCCUAACAACAUCAAUAUUUAGGAGACAAGUGACAAGUAACAGAAAAACCUUGAAAAAAAGGCAGGGUCAUCAUGUGAUGAUCUUCUAAAUGCAUUUGCCAAUCAAGUUGAUGUAUUUGCUUUGUAUCUAAUUUGCAAUGUGUAUUUCUUUUAUCUUCGUAUUUAUUUGUACAUUUUUUUAAGUGUGAAAGAUAUUGAACGUGUUUGACACUUACACGGGCAGAAUAAUUAAUUUAAAAAAAAGAUAAAUAUGACAAUACUCUAUUGAAAGUUUAUGCCUAUGAAUGAAUGUUUGAAUAUUUUUACACUUAACUUUGCUCUUCAUUUGGCUUACCAUUGUUGUCGACUGUUCCACUCUUUGUGCCAGCCUCGCAUCCUGCCACCUCAUUUUUGUAUGCAAAGCAGUCUGCAGAAUAAAACAAGCUUAACUUUGUAAACAUUUUGUCAGUCACAUUGCAGAUGGAUAUUUCAAUGUUUAUAUCUUUGGUGAUUAAAUGCUCUUGAUAUUUUUCA